UAGGACUACUGGGGUUUCUAAUCCCGUUCGCUCCCCUAGCUUUCGCGUUUCAGCGUCAGGUGCAGCCCAGAUGGCCGCUUUCGCCACCGGUGUUCCUCCGGAUAUCUACGCAUUUCACCACUACACCCGGAAUUCCACCAUCCUCUACUGCCCUCAAGCCCAGCAGUAUCGGACAGCCUCUCCCGGUUGAGCCGAGAGAUUUCAUGCCCGACUUGCUAGGCCGCCUGAACGCGCUUUACGCCCAGUAAAUCCGGAUAACGCUCGCCACCUACGUUUUACCGCGGCGGCUGGCACACCGCGGCGGCUGGCACACCGCGGCGGCUGGCACACCGCGGCGGCUGGCACACCGCGGCGGCUGGCACACCGCGGCGGCUGGCAC
rnacentral:misc_RNA from 1 species